GGCGUGGUGGUCGAGUGGUCAGGCAGUGGAUUGCAAAUCCAUCUACGGCGGUUCAAUUCCGUUCCACGCCUCCA
rnacentral:tRNA from 1 species